rnacentral:other from 3 species
UUGUCCCUGCCGUGUUCGUGACCUGGCCAUACAUUCUCUAACCAAUGCUUAAUUGGCAUCAGGUUGUGCGAUUUGCGUAGCUGGCGCGUCCGUCUCUCGUAGAUGGACCCAAGGUUUCGCUUAGCACGACCGACUUGAACUUCGGUUUGAGAUGCCGGCCUAGACGGCACAGGCGGGGCUUUU